rfam:Pristionchus pacificus strain PS312 contig4528, whole genome shotgun sequence.
UCUUCAUUCCACGUGCUCUCUCACCGGUCAGAGAGGCGAGAGAGUGUGUGAAAUAAAGAGA